GGAUGUGUUUGUUAGUGGGGAGUUAGGAUAUGAAUCAAUUUUGAUUAUUUAAUUUUUAAUUUUUUAUUUUUUCUCUCUUCCCAAAACUCUUCCUGACGUUUGUUUUUUUUCUCCGCUUCCCGGUGAUUUCUUUGUUUCCUCUUUGUCAAAAAUCUCUUUUUCUACUCCUCUAAAGUUCUGUCAUAAUUUUUCCUUUUCAAUUGCAGUGUUUCGAAUUUUCGGUUUUCCGUACGGUUCGUUAAGUUUGGGAAAGUAUGGUUUUACAGUUUCUUUUAGUUGUUG
rnacentral:lncRNA from 1 species